GUCCGUUGCGGGAGGUCGCGUCUAGAAGCCGCGCAGGCUCGGGGAAGAGCGUGCGGCCAACGCUCGUCGCUCCAAUGGCGGCGUCCCGGAUCUGUUAUCCAGGGGAAAGGUGAGGGAAUACUAGGCUGCCCAGGAAUCUACCAGGAACAUUAAAAGAUUGCAUCACAGGCUUCAAAAGCCCAACUAGACAAAUGGAAUUCUGUCAAACUCCAAAACUUCUGUACAGAAAACUAAACUAUCAACAGAAUGAAGAGACAGCCAACAGAACUGGAGAAAAUACUUGCCGGCUAUUUAUCUGACAAUGGAUUAAUAUCCAAAAUAUAUCAGGAAUGGAAAAACUCAGCAAUCAAAAAACCCAACCAAUGAAAUUAAGAAAUGGGCAAUAGGUCUGAAUUAACAGUUCUCAAAAUAAGUCAUAGAAUGGCCAACAAGGUACAAACAAAUAAGCAACAUCAUUAGUCAUCAGGGAAAUGCAAAUUAAAACUUCCAGGAGAUAACACAUCAUCCUUGUUAUAAUGGCUGUUAUAAAAAAGACAGUAAAAAAUGCAGGCAAGGAUGUGGACAAGCGGGAACUCUUAUAUACUGUUGGUGGGAUUAUAAGUUAGUAAGAAACUAUGGAAAGUGAUGGCAAUUAUUAUGAUGAUGUCUUUUAAAACAUUAGAAAUAGCACUGUCAUGUGAUCCAGAAAUCUUACUACUGAGUACAUAUCCAAAAGAUGUGAAAUAAUUGUAUCAGAUACUUGCCCCAUCUUGUUGACUGCAUGAGUGUUCACAUCAACUGGAAUAUCUUUUUAUAAUCACAUGAAUAAAGGAAAUUUAUAGGGGCCGGUGCUGUGGUGUAGCAGGUAAAGCUGCAUCACUAGCAUCUCAUAUGGGCUCCAGUUCGAGUUCCAGCUGCUUCCCUUCCAAACCAGCUUCCUAAUUAUGCACCUGGGAAAGCAGCAGGAGAUGACCCAAGUCCUUGGGCCCCUACACCCAUGUGGGAGAUCUGGAAGAAGCUCCUGGCUCCUGGCUUCAGCCUAACCUGAUCUUGCCUGUUGUGGCCAUUUGUGGAGUAAACCAGCAGGUGGAAGGUCUCUGUCUUUCUCUGUGUCUCUGUCUCUAUCUUUCCCUCUCUAUAACUCUGCUUUUCAAACAAAUAAAUAAAUCUUUUAAAAAAGAAUGUAUUUGCCUUUAUGAGCCUUAAAAAUUAUCUAUGUAAACAAUGGAAUAUCAUUCACCCUGAAAUAUGAAAUACUGUCAUUUGCAGCAAAGUGGAUGGAACUGGAGGAUAUUAUCAUAAAUGAAAUCCUAUAGACACAGAAUGACAAAUACUGCCUGUUUCCACCAUUUGUAGAAACCAAGAUUAUCUUCAUUCUGAAUCCCUAAUGGCAAUGACUAGAGACUGGGAAUGGUAGGGGGAAUGAAGGGAUUUGGAUAACAGGUAACAAAUCAGAGUCUGAAGGAAGGAAGGAAUUCCUUGUAUUACACAGCAUAGAGGUGAGACUCGAGUCUCAACAAUCCAGUAUAUAUUUAUGAACAAAUAGAAGAAAGAAGGUCCAAGCCUCCAAUCAUAAAGAGAAGUCAAAGAAGGGGAAAUAUUCCUGACUCUGUUUUGAUCAGUACACACUACAUACAGGUAUUGAAAUAUUGCAGUGUAGCUCAAGACUAAACACAAUUAUUGUUAAUAAAAUACAGAAAUUUGUUUUUUUAAAGGAAAAAACUUUUUUAAGAAUGGUUCUAUCAUAUUACUAGCAACGUGAUAAAUCCAGAUUCUUGGAUUCCUUAUCAGUAUUUUGAGUGUAGCUAAUUUGUUUUUGAGCUGUUUUAAUUGGCAUAUGCUAAUACCCAUUGUAUUCUUAAUUUGCAUUUGAUGGUUAGUGAUGUUGAAUGUGGUUCCAUGGCCUGUUUACCAAACUCUUGUCCUCUGUUGUAAAAUGUGUCUCAAUGUUAUUUGCCUGUUAUCUGAUUGGAUUGUUUCUGUUUUUGCUGUUGAGUUUCCAAAGGUCUUAAUAUAUUCUAGAUGCAAGAUUUGUCCAGAAUGUGGUUUGCCUGUUCCUUUUUUUUUCCUUUCAACAUAGUCUUUCUCAAAGGGCAAUUUUUAAAUUUUAAUCAAGUCCAAUAAUUAAUUAUGUCUUUUAGACAUAGUACUUUGGAUACCAUAUCUGAGAACUCCUUCCCAAGUGCUAAAACCAGAAGACUUCCUCCAAUGUUAUGUUCUAAAAGUUUCACAGUUUUACAUCGAAAUAUGUUACUCAUUUCUGUUAAUUUUUUGUUUGUGCUAAAA